rnacentral:tmRNA from 1 species
GGGGGCGUAAAGGUUUCGACGGGGAUUUUGAAGUGUGAUAAGCGAGUGGAGCUGCGGCGUAAUCUCCUUAAACUGCGCCACGUUUAAAUAUAAACGCAAGAAAUAAUAUUACAGUUUCUAGAAAUAGCGAACUGGUAGCAGCCUAAGUCUGCUUCCGUCCACCGGCAGAAUACCGCGACUGCUGAUUGGGCGUUGAUUAGCGGUGAACGAUCCUGCGGAGUGUCCGUUCCGUUCGAUUGUAUCCGGACUACCUACGAUUUCAGCCCGUUUAUCGGCGGCUACCAUAGGGAAUUUCAAUAGGUAAAAUACACUCGUAGAAAGUUGCAUGAAUAAGUUUUCGGACGCGAGUUCAAUUCUCGCCGCCUCCACCA